AAACUUCCCUUCGGGGAAGAUAUAAAGUGGCGCACGGGUGAGUAACACGUAAGUAAUCUACCUUCGAGUGGGGAAUAACGUCCGGAAACGGACGCUAAUACCGCAUAAUGCAGCGGCACCUAAUGGUGACAGUUGUUAAAGAUUUAUCGCUUGAAGAGGAGCUUGCGGCAGAUUAGCUAGUUGGUAAGGUAACGGCUUACCAAGGCUACGAUCUGUAACCGGUCUAAGAGGACGGUCGGUCACACUGACACUGAAUAAUGAGUCAGACUCCUACGGGAGGCAGCAGUCGGGAAUUUUGGGCAAUGGGCGAAAGCCUGACCCAGCAACGCCGCGUGAAGGAUGAAGUAUUUCGGUAUGUAAACUUCGAAAGAAUGGGAAGAAUCAAUGACGGUACCAUUUAUAAGCUCCGGCUAACUACGUGCCAGCAGCCGCGGUAAUACGUAGGGAGCAAGCGUUGUUCGGAUUUACUGGGCGUAAAGGGCGCGUAGGCGGCAAUUCAAGUCAGCUGUGAAAUCUCCGGGCUUAACUCGGAAAGGUCAGCUGAUACUGCUUUGCUAGAGUGCGGAAGGGGCAAUCGGAAUUCUCGGUGUAGCGGUGAAAUGCGUAGAUAUCGAGAGGAACACCUGAGGUGAAGACGGGUUGCUGGGCCGACACUGACGCUGACAGCGCGAAAGCCAGGGGAGCAAACGGGAUUAGAUACCCCGGUAGUCCUGGCCCUAAACGAUGAAUACUUGGUGUCUGGAGUUAUUAGUGCUCCGGGUGCCGUCGCUAACG
rnacentral:rRNA from 1 species